AUAUCAUUUGAACGAAUGCAUUAAUAUAUGAGUUAUAGAAAAUUGGCGGAUUAUCUUCGAAAAAUAUUUUGACUCAAUUUGAAUCGUGUCACUCAACCCAUUAUAAUAAACGAACCUCAUAAAAUCGUUUACCGCUUCUCCUUAAUCCAUUUGUGUAAUACUGAAUGCUAAGUAAGAGUGGAAAGCUUCCACCAUCCACCAGACCAUUACAAGCACUACAUACGCCAUCUUCAAUAUCGUAUAUUUUCAGUAGUCAACUUGACUAGCUCUUAUUGGCGGUUUUAUUCAAGAGAAGAUUCAUCCGGUGAAAAUUCAAGCAACUAUUACUGCACUAGCAAUUGGAUCGGUAAAUAGGCGAGAUCUGAAAGUUUCGGUAAAGUUUUAGAUUACAUGGCUUAGUUUCACACGCUCUUUAUAUUCUCAACCUUCCGACGCAAAUCACCAGAUUCAAUAAAUGAGUCCUACUCCUACACCUACUCUUAUCACUUGUAAUCCAAAAAAGCUCCAUUUCUUUCUUAUACGCUAAUUCACUAUUAAAUAGAAAUGUAUAUGCAAAACAGCGAGAAAUUUGUAGAUACGUUGAAUGUUGUUGCUUUCACAUUUGCAACUCUUAGUAGUUGUUCAAAACAACAAUGUCGAGCAAAGAUGUUUGCGAUGUUUGAAUGAUUCUUGGAUUGUAUUUGGAUUCCAUCGGUACUAUGGCCUGUUGAUUCGGCACCUUUGUCAUUUUAGCAACUUUUGUUUUCUUUUCUGUGUCGAUGUAGUUCUCUAUACCAUAUUCAUGUUCAUAUCAAUGUCCAUAUCAAGGUCCAUAUCAAUGUCCAUAUCAAUUUCCCAUGUUCCAUUACAUAUCCCGUGUUCUUUCCUUCUUCCAGCUUUUACAUGCUAGCCUUUUAUACAAUGAUUCCUCUCAUCUCGACUCGCUUGAUGAAUGGGCGUUUAGUUUUUGCAACAACAUAUGCGUUGGGUUAUCUCAUAUCGGGAAACACUUUCUGCCACUUUUAACUUGAACAAAGUUGGAGAAAUAAAGUGAUGGCAGAUAUUGCAAGUUGUUUAUAGUGUGCCUGUAGAAAUGUAAAAACGCUAUGUUUCGUGAAUGCCCAGCCUGUAAAUCGAAAUAAGAUUUCGUAUUUAUUAAGCAUUGGAAGAUCACAAUUGGAAAAAACACGAUACGGUUGGUCUCUUCACAGUCGUUCUCCAGUAAUCACAAACAUGAAACCUAAAUAUACGGUAACUUUGCACCUAUUAGGACAACGCCUCAAGUGACUGCAUUAAAACAUAAUACCGAAGCACUGACAUAACAGAGAGGUUCAGAAAGGAAUUUAAAGAUUGACUUUUUCGACAAACUUCAUGUUACAAGUCUUAUCGUUUGUGUUUAUAAAUCAUCAGCCUCUCUCUAUAUCUCUAUAUCUCUAUAUCUCUAUAUAUCAGAUAUAAAGAUGCAAGUUUUGAAGUAGACAUUCCGCACAAAGUCUAGUACACCAUGUCUCUUGUGCUCAGGCUGGUUGUCCUGCAAAAAUGUACAACAGGCAAAUGGAUGUUUCAUCAAAGAUGGACUCCUUUGUCUCAUACUUAUUGAUGGCGAAGCUAGAUCCGUUAUCAUCUUGAGAAAACACAUCGUUGUCUUCAGAGUAGUGAUAGUUCUUAUCGUUGUAGUUAUAGUUGCAGUUAUAGUUAUAGUUGUAGUUAUAAUUAUAGUUGUAGUUGUAAUAACUCUUUCAACAAGUCCUGAAUCUUGGCAAACAGACCCUCAUACAGUGCUGUCAGCUCACUCAAGUCCAAUCGCACCAUGUUAAUUAAACGCAUCUCCAAUGCACGGGUACAUAGAAUUACUUCGAGACUGAAACAAUACGGUGCUUGGGCUUAGUCCUUGUAGUGUAUUUUGCAUACAUACCCUUCUGUUCGAAUGAUAUCCCUAAUGACUUUGUGGGUUUCGUAAAGAACAUCAUAUAGAUUUCUUUGACCAAGUGUAAUAAAGCAAAACACACGGACAUAGUAUGGAUAUGGACACAAGCAACACUACCAGUCGUUUGAAACGAUGAAAUGGGCAACAAGUCGAUUUGUUUUUCAUCUAUCAAUCGUUGUAAUUCACAUGCAGCUACAAGACGACACGUUAUAUUUAGGGUGCAAAGCAGGUAGAGAUUUCAUAGGCAUAUUUCGAAGUACCAGCUUUAUGCCAAAACAUGCAUGCAUGCAAGAAACUCCAUAACUUCGUUUGCGCAACUCCUGCUUAUCGUCUUCUUUCUAUACCCAUGCUGUUGGAUCAAUGAAUGAACGUAGCAAUAGAUACAAGAUAUAGCGCCACACUUUUGAGCAUAUCCUAAUGACAGUAAUUCGUUUUGUUCUAAGCGACCAAGUAUUCGCUCUUGCAACACUAUAGUUCUCACUUUGAGGAAACAUUCCUUUGAUGCCCAUGUUCAUUCCACUUGGAUGACAGAAUCCUCGAUAGUAUUAGUAUUAAUGAAUUAACUGUCAGGAUGUGUUGUCGUUCUUGAAGUAAGUCUUGUGAAAGAAACCACCGAGUUAAAAAUAGAGAUCUCGAUGGUUUUAUAUAUAAAAGUUUAAUGCUUGCCUAUUUAUACAUUUCCCAAGGACUGCUGAGGUAGAUGCGUUGUUCAGUUGACUAGGAUUUGUUUGAAUUCAAAGAUUAUCUAUUCAAGUCUUCUUUAUACGUUUGCAUGUGUUUGAUAAGAAUUCCAUUGAUUCAGAAAAAAAGUGCCAACAGUUUUUCCAACUUGACUGACACUACAACCUUCCAAUCAUAGCCAUACUACUAUGGUAUAAAAA
rnacentral:lncRNA from 1 species